AGAUCUCUCCCAACGUACCUUGA
rnacentral:siRNA from 1 species